UACGUAGGGGGCUAGCGUUGUCCGGAAUCAUUGGGCGUAAAGAGCGCGUAGGCGGCCAGAUAAGUCCGGUGUGAAAGUCACAGGCUCAACCUGUGAAUGCCGCUGGAAACUGUCUGGCUAGAGUCCGGAAGGGGCGAGUGGAAUUCCCGGUGUAGCGGUGAAAUGCGCAGAUAUCGGGAGGAACACCUAUGGCGAAGGCAGCUCGCUGGGACGUUACUGACGCUGAGACGCGAAAGCGUGGGGAGCAAACAGG
rnacentral:rRNA from 1 species